GGCCAGUUGGUCAAGCGGUUAAGACACCGCCCUUUCACGGCGGUAAAUCACGGUUGAACUGCGGAAGGGGUCG
rnacentral:tRNA from 1 species